AUGCGCUUCGAGCAAGUAAGCGAGAAAUGUCAAAUGCCACAAGAGGUAUUGAGAGGGAGAUCGCAGCAUUGCAGUCAGAGGAAAAGAAGCUGGUUGCUGAGAUAAAAAGGACAGCAAAAACUGGAAAUGAGGC